rnacentral:rRNA from 1 species
UGGUGGAGUGAUUUGUCUGGUUAAUUCCGUUAACGAACGAGACCUUAGCCUACUAACUAGUCGAUUCAACUCCGGUUGACUUUGACUUCUUAGAGGGACUUUGUGUGUCAAGCACAAGGAAGUUUGAGGCAAUAACA